ensembl:misc_RNA Y_RNA Y RNA
GGCUGGUUCAGAGGCAGUGACUUAUCUCAAUUUAUUGUUCACAGUUACAGAUAAAACUAUUUGUUCUACCCUUUACUCCCUUCUCACUACUGUACUUGACUAAUCAUAA